rnacentral:rRNA from 1 species
GGGCGUAAGCGCACGCAGGCGGUCUGUCAAGUCGGAUGUGAAAUCCCCNGGCUCAACCUGGGAACUGCAUUCGAAACUGGCAGGCUAGAGUCUUGUAGAGGGGGGUAGAAUUCCAGGUGUAGCGGUGAAAUGCGUAGAGAUCUGGAGGAAUACCGGUGGCGAAGGCGGCCCCCUGGACAAAGACUGACGCUCAGGUGCGAAAGCGUGGGGAGCAAACAGGAUUAGAUACCCUGGUAGUCCACGCCGUAAACGAUGUCGACUUGGAGGUUGUGCCCUUGAGGCGUGGCUUCCGGAGCUAACGCGUUAAGUCGACCGCCUGGGGAGUACGGCCGCAAGGUUAAAACUCAAAUGAAUUGACGGGGGCCCGCACAAGCGGUGGAGCAUGUGGUUUAAUUCGAUGCAACGCGAAGAACCUUACCUACUCUUGACAUCCAGAGAACUUACCAGAGAUGCUUUGGUGCCUUCGGGAACUCUGAGACAGGUGCUGCAUGGCUGUCGUCAGCUCGUGUUGUGAAAUGUUGGGUUAAGUCCCGCAACGAGCGCAACCCUUAUCCUUUGUUGCCAGCGGUCCGGNNGGGGACUCCAAGGNNANNGGCNGUGAUAAACUGGAGGGAGGNGGGGAUGANNUCNAGUCAUCNNNGCNNCNNNNAANNAGGGNUACNNNNGUGCUACANNGNCGCAUACAAAGA